rnacentral:lncRNA from 1 species
GCAGGGAAAAUGGGGUGGGAAGAACAAAAACCCCAGGACUGAGUGAAGAAAAUAAAUGAGAAAUCACCACAGUGAAAGUAAAAGACGAGAGUUCGAACUCAGCAAGUUCUCAUCGAAGCAGCUUUCUUUUUUCUUUUCUUUUCUUUUUUUUUUUUUUUUUGAGACAGAGUCUCGCUCUGUCACCCAGGCUGAAGUGCAGUGGUGCAGUCUCGGCUCACUGCAAGCUCCGCCUCCCAGGUUCAAGCCAUUCUCCUGCCUCAGCCUCCCGAGUAGCUGGGACCACAGGCGCCCGCCACCAUGCCCAG